GUUAAAUUAUCUGAUAUUUUACACCAUUUUUUAAUGCUGUCUUCUCUGCUUCAUUUGUUUGCUUUCUUGUUUUUCACACUUUGCAUUCUUUGCAUUUCAGUUGGGGUAAUUUCUAUUGACCUAUCUUUGAAUUCACUUAUUUUUUCUUUGGCUAUUUCUAGUCUACUGUGAGCCCAUGAAGGACAUUCUUUACUUUUUCUUUCUAGCACAUUUGAUUAUUUCUUGAACUUUCCAUUUCUCUGCUGAAAUUAUCUGAUUUUGUAUGUUGUUUACCUUUUUCACUAGAACAUUUAACAUAGUAGUCAUGCACAUGUUAAAUUCCCUGUCAGAUAGUUGCAACACUUGUGUCAUAUCUGUCUAGUUUUCAUGGGUGCUUUCUCUUCAGACUGUGUGUUCUCCUAUCUAGUCUUAUGCCUGUUAUUUAUUGAAAGCUGGACAAAUUGUAUAGGUCAGUGGAUACAGAGGUAAAGAUUUUUUUAGGAUUGUAAGUGAGCACAUCUUUCCUCUGUUAAGAUUUUGGUGUGAAUGUUUGUAUAUUCUAGUUAGGAGUUGGGAUGCAAUUGAAGUCUUUUGUUUUUAUAGUUAUCCUCAGUGCACCAAAGAUAUAAAAUUCUUUAGUCAUAUCUUGUUUUUCAGUUGGUUCCUCUCAAUAUUUACUCCACUCUUUGACCUGGAUCCUCUCCCUGUGCUAUUCACCAGAAAAAACCCCAUUGCCUGCAGGUCUCUCAGAUAUGCUUUAGUGUUGUUCUUAAUCAAAGUGUGUUAGUAUGGUGGUAGGGGAGAUAAAAAGGACAUUCUCUGACAUUCUGAUUAAACCUCAGUCCUCAGCACUGGUAACCUGGGUUUUGAGAGUGUGACUGUUAUGUGUCUCUGCCUCCUAUCCAGCUCCAAUGAUAGGUGUAGUAAGCAUUCCUGCUCUUCUCCUAGGGUAAAAAUCUUUUUCUUAUUCCCAUCCUCCAGCCACAAUGAGCAUCCACUAGUGCCCCCAAAUAACCACUGUCAUUGUUUUUCCCCUGAAGAAUAAGGCUUCCUUUUUCCUUGGGGGAAAAAAGGGAGUUGAGUCUGGAUGGAAUUUUGACAGUAGCUGCUAUCUCCCUCUCCAGGAUGUAAUCACAAAGGAAGCUUUUCAAAAUUCUCCCUGAUCUUCCUUGUGUGUGCCUGAGGGGAUUUGUGGAGGACAAGGCUGCAAGAGAAUUCAAACUCCCUUGUAUCUGUGGCCCCCAGGGCUUCAUGCUCUCACGUGAGCCUACACUCAGCCUUCAGCAAUUUGUUAAAGUUUUUAGCUGAAUCUUCUCCAUAGCUUAUUUCCAUCCAGCGGCAACUGCCCCAGUUACACAAAUGCUUGUGUCCUGUUUCUUUCCGCAGCCUCCUUUGUCUCCCCAUAUUUCAGCUUAGUUGUUUGCCUUAUGUCCUCUAUUCUCCUAUCAGUUAAAGAGUGAUUUAUUUUCAGUUUUCCCAGCUUGUUUUCUUGUUAUAAGAGUAGAAGUGAUACUCUUUCCAGCUCUCUAUACCUCUGAACUCAACUGAUAUUUUUUGAAACUACUCAGGUAACAAUGAUGUGCAGCCUGGAUUGAGAGCCCAAUCGUUAGAACAUGCAUCUCAGUCAGAAAAGAGUAAAAAUCUGUAGUAUGACUUAGUCCUACAUAAUCUGGCUCCCAGCCAGUUUUCUCUCACUUUAUCUCCUUGCUCCUUAGUGCUCUAUUGCUUUGAGUUCUCUAGUCACACUGGACACUUCUUUCUUGGAACACACUAUUCAUGCUCCAGCCUCAGAGCCUUUACUCUGACUACUCACUAUACGUGCAGUGCUGGUCCUGAUUUCUUAUGACUUGCUCCCACACUUCCACAGGUGUCUUCCCACCACCUCACUCAAGAAGGUUUAAUCAACUUCUCUAAUUAGAAGACAAUGACCUACUGAAUCAUUCUUUACUCCCUUUUUAUUUUUUAUUCUUUUUUCAUUAAUUUGAUGAGAGAAAGAAUUCUAAAGUUUCUAGGUUGUAAGACUGGAAAGACGAAAAUACUAUUUUUAAAAAUGGGCUUUAAAAUAAGAAAGUAUAGAAGCAUAUGAGUGAUAAACUUUCCAAGUUCUUUUAUUUAAAUCUAUUUAUUAUUGCCACUAGACAUAUUUUAAUCUUCAUUUAUUUACAUAUCAAUUAUGUCCACUCAUUAGAAUGAAAACUCUAUGAGGUCAAUGAUUUCAGUUUAUUUGCUUAUUGAUUGCUAAUAUUCACGCCCAUCUUCCUCUACUUUUUAUAUGUGGGACAGCUGCCACAGCAUGGCUUGCUAAGCAGUGCAUGUCCACACCUGGGAUCUGAACCAACGAACCCUGGGCCGCCGAAGUGGAACGUGCGAACUUAACUGCUGCGCCACCCGGCUGGCCCCAGAUCCUUCAUUCUUAGAAUGGCAUCAAGUACAUAGUUGGAAGCCAAUAUUCCCUUAAAAUAUGAAUAGUACAUUUCAUUAUUUUUGGAUAUGCCUUCUGUGUGCCAGACACUGUGCCAGGUAAGCAAUAAUGAUUAAAAUUCAAGGUAUAAUCUGUAAUAUCAAGAGUUUAAUGUCUAAUUUAUAAGAUGAAUAAAGUGCAAUUGAAUGUACAAUCCUAGGCUGGGGGAAAUUUGGGUAGAAUUUGUGCAGGAUUCUCUGAAAGGAAUCCAGAGGUGAGCAUUAAGGCAUUAGCGGCCGUAUCACAGAUAUUCUUCCCGUAAUGUUUCUACACAUGCAAAUCAGGUUAAAAUGACUAUUUUAGCAAGAUUAUAAAUCUUGACCCAAAGGAUUUCACCAUGGGCUGGGUAUCACUUUCAAAGCACACUGAAAAUGGAAAUUUAAGUUUUCAUUCUAGUUCACAAAACAAACAGUGAAAUUGAUCUAAUGCAAAUUUGCUCUCACCAAAGCUAAGUAAAAUCUCUCAUAGCAUUCUUUAAAAAUCUAGAAGUGUCAUACUCCUCAAUUCUGAACUUUCUUCCUCACACCUUUGUCCCUUCUAUGCUGCUUCCUCAAUCAUCUCCCCACCUAUGCCUUGAAUGCAGGGAAUAACACCCUUCCUUACUGGUGCCCACAGUCUGGAAACCACCAUGCCACUGCUCCUGGGGAAGACAGUUCUUUGAAUCCCACUGCUGUGUCAAUUGAAUUCUAAGUUCCAAGAUUAUUUUUCUUUAUUUCUUCUUCUUUUAAAAAAAUUUUCCCUUUUCUAGUCUCUGUCUUUGUCGUCACUCUUUAAUGCCAUAGUUCCCUGCCCUAUAUCCUCAUUUUAUUUCAAAAUUAGUGCAGACAAUGGUUGGCUGAGAAUUCUCAGAGGAGGGAGAGCAAAAGUAAAAGUUAACACAUGUUUUUGAAUUAUUUGAUAAGACACGGCAAAAGAAUAUGAACUCAAUGUGACAAGCCAUUAGGGGAUUUUGCAGGUUUAUGAGAAAGAUUAGCACAGUGAAAGUAGUGUUUUAGGAGGAUUAGUCUGGCAUCAGAGAACUAUGUGUAUUAGAGGAGGUAAUGCUCUGUUCAUAGAUAACUGCUAGGCUGUUACCACAGAUCCCAUGGUAGGUAAUGAGGGUAGGGACAGAAUUUGAUGAGAGAAAGAACUUUAAGGUUUUUAUGCCGUGAGACUGGAAGGAUGAAAACAUUAUUUCAAAAAUGGGUUUUAGAAUAAGAAAGUAUAGAAAUACACGAGUGAUGCGUUUUCCAUUGUUCUUUUAUUUAUAUCUAUUUAUGCUUUCCUCUGUGAUAGCAGAGAGUCUCUGUAACAACUUAAUAAUUUCCUUACAUUAUCUUUAGUAAAGCAUAAUGAUAAUUAUCAUUUUGGUGGGAUAAUUGUAAAUAUUUACAGUAUGAUUUUUGGUCAUUUAAGUUAUCUGUAAACACAGAGGCUUAAAUGAUUCAUCAGUAGCCUUGAGAACAAAUACUACUUCUAUUUAAUAUACUAUUUUGCUAUACUGUUGAGAUCUACAAGACCUAAGAGAAAUUUGUUAGUAUAGAGAAUAAAAUCCAACUUGAGGAGAUUAAAUAUUAAGGGAAGUUUUAUAUGAUAUGAGGUAGCUUAUGGGUAGUAGUGAUAUAUUACAUAUAAUGAAAAGAGCUAAUGGUAGGUUAGAUGGCUGCUGGAUAUAAAUAUAAUUCCGUGAAUUACAUAUUGGUGAAAUUUGCCAGGAAAGAAGAUAUGUUUGUUCCCUGCUCACCCCACCCCAAAAUAUUUAUAUCUCAAAGUUAAUCUCCUUAUAUUAUCCAAUUAGAAUUUUUAGGUAUCACAUUUUAAAAGCCAAUUCCCAGAAUAAACUAUGAUUUAUUAUUCUUACUGUUAAGUUAGAAUUAUUUUCUAAAAACUCCAAUAUACUUUAGUGCUUGGAAUAAUGAAAUACUACAAUAAUUUAUAAGUGAUCUGUAUAUCUUAAGAUAGCAAAAAUUAAAAUUCAAAUAAAUACAUGGAAUAAACUAUAUGGCCAACAGACAAUUUCAUAUAUUUUUCACUUAUGUAUUCUUGCCCAUGCAUAAAUGCAUUUUUCUUUAUAACUUUCAAAUUAAGAUGAUAAAUUCAAUCAAUAGAUUAUAAAUAUUGUUUCAUAAUAGGUAUGAUGAAAGUCAUUGUAUUUUAAAAACUGGAGUUUCCACCUAAUAGGUAAUACUAUCUUUAAACCUAUUGGUAAUACUAUAUGGGUGUAUGUGUUUUUGAAUAUGUGAAUACCAAGAUAUAUUAAUAAAUAAAAAUGUAUCUAUUACCGAAAAGAGAAGAGAGCAGUUCAAAAAGAGAAAACUGGUUCUGGGUUAUAGUCUGGUGUUAACACUUUGUAGCAAAAUAUUUUUCUCUGUUUUGUUGCAGAAGUAAUUGAAUUUGUUUCUCUCUCUUGACCAAGUGUUCAGAAUUGCCCAUUUCCUACCCUCUGCUUUGCCUUGGCCAACUUUUAGUCAAGCUUCUUUCCUCCCCACAAGCCCCUGAACUUUAGCUUGCCUCCAGAUCUGAGCAUCACUGAAAUAUCCUCCUUUAACAGCUUAUCUCAAGAAUGAGUUAACCUCAGCAAGGACCAUUUCCUGUCAGACCCCAGAUCAUGCUGUCUGUUCAACCCCUCUGCUUCCCCAAUUUUCCCUUAAAAGUACCUGAUAGCUCUGCUUUUCUUUCCCUACAUAAAAAAAAAAAAAUUGUUUUGGUUUGAUUUUAAGGUGCUGCAGAUCCUGAGAUGGAAAUAUUCUCCAUGUUGCAAUAGUCUUUGAAAAAAUCUCUCCUUAUCUAAUUCCAGAUUUGUUUUUAUUUGACACACUCAGCAUGUACUCUUACUUUUCAAAAUCUUUUCACAUUUGUACUCUCUCUCAUUCUUACUUUGAACAGUUAAUGACUAGGAAUAAUUAUAAACUUUGUCCGUAGGCUACUGUCACUGCAACUUUUAAAAUAUGAUUACUUUGGCCAAUAAUGUAGUCAAGGUUACAGCUGUUUCUUAUUCUCACAUCUUUUUCUCUUAAUACAGUCAAGUAACUAGUAGAUUUUACACGUUACCAUCUCCAAGACCAGUCUUCAAAGUGAGAAGAGAACUGUUAAGAUUGGCAGGGUCAAUAGUGCACUCAGUCUUACUGUCACAUCAGAUGGUGGCUUGGUAGCAGAAGUUCUUAAUAAGAAUUUUCCUGUAACCCAGGAUAUGAUACACCACGACAAUGAAGCCAUCCUGAGGAAGUUUCUGCAUAAUUGUUUUACUACUAAUUUUUCCAAUAUUAUACUGAGAGCUCCCCUAGUUUUCCAGUCUCACAGUGAGGGAGCAGCCAUUCAUUCCUCUGAGAUGUAUUUGUUAAAUUUGCAUUAAUUUAAGUCAAAUGAAAAUUUCUGAUCAUUUGAACAUGGGUUAGUAAUUGUAUGUAUCUCAGACAGGAUAAAAAUAUACUUGAAUGUAUGAUACAAUGACUGUCAGCAAAAACUCCUAACUAAAAGAUUCUACCUAGUUUGUUAUAUCCACACUUUUUAACCCCAAGAGGAUCACACAUGUUCUAGAGCCAUAGCAAAGUCAAUUUGUAAAGCUUUACUAACAUAGUGCACCUUCCCUAACUACAUUAUUGAAAUCAGAGGUGAAAAGUCUGCAGAGAGGGGCUGGCCCUGUGGGGUAGUGAUUAUGUUUAGCACACUCCACUUCAGUGGCCAGGGUUUGUAGGUUUGGAUCCUGGGUGCAGACCUACACCACUCAUCAGCCGUGCUGAGGUGGCGACCCACAGACAAAAUAGAGGAAAAUUGGCACAGAUGUUAGAAGAAGGGGGUGAAAAAAAGAAGUUUGGCAACAGUUGUUAGCUCAGGUGCCAAUCUUUUAAAAAAAAAGUUUGACUCAAAUCUCCACUCUAAUGGCCUUAAAAAAGAAUAAGCACACUCUUUGGGGGGCGUAAGUAUUAUUUACCUCAUCCAACUUUUUUUCUUGCACACAAUGUCUAAUAUGCAAUCAAAAAGUAAAUAAUGUGAAAAAAAAGAAAAUGUGACCCACUGUUAAGAGAGUAGUCAAUACAACCAGGCUCAAAGAUGUCCCAGAUUUAGAAUUAUUAAACCGGAACUUUAAAAUAACUAGUAGAAAAUUGAACAUCAUAUGUGAACAGUUGAGAGAUUUAGGCAAAAUAGAAAUCAUAGGAAAAGGACUAAACGGAAACAUUAGAUGUGAAAUUAUGAUUAUCGGUGAUAAAAAUUCAUUCUAUGGGCAUAUAAAUAUGUUAGAUAUAAAAGAGAAAAUAAGUGAACUUUAGGACAUGUCAAUAGACAUUAUCCAAACUGAAACAUAACGUGGAAAAAGAGUGCUAAAAAUAAAGAAACAGUGUCCGAGAUCUACAAAAUAAUAUCAGUCUAACAUGGGUUAAUGAAGUGUCAAAACAAAUAUGGCAGAAGAAAUAUUUGAAGGGAUAAUAGGUUUAUGCAGGAUAUCAACCCCUGUAAUCUAAGCAGCUCACAGUUCUCCAAGCAGGGUAAAUGCAAAAAGAAUGCCUAGUACAGCAUAAUCAAACUGCUAAAAAAUAAGUAAAGUAAAAUCCUUGACAGCAGCCAGGAAGAGAAAGAAAAACACGUUAGCUUCAGUAAAAAAAAAAAAAAAAAAAAAAAAAUUGCCGUUAGAUAUAGUGAAACAAAUAAUCUUAAAAAUUAUGGCUGAGGCAAGAAGACGAUAGAAUUAGAGCUUUGAAGUACUGAAAGAAGUAAAGUGCCUAUCAAUCAAGAAUUCUAUGUUAGCAAAAACAGUCACCAAAAAUGAAGACAUUUGCAAUUGAAUAAAUGCAUCAAAUAUAGACAUUUGAAAACUGAAACCUACUUGCACUAUAAGAAACACUAAAAGUCUUUUUUAUGACGUUGGAGGAAAAAUAACAGCAGUUAGAGAUCAAAUGUUAUGGUAAUAAAUGAAGAACACAAGAAUGAGUAAAUUUACUGAUAAAUAUAAAGGACCUGGAAAAGUCCAUUUAAACACUACUGACUUUUAAAAAUAAACAUAACAAUGUCAUAUUGGGUUUACAGUGUAUGUAGAAAUGAACAUAUGACAGCAAUAGCACAAAGGGCAGGAGGGUAAUAAUUUAAGCACUAAUGUCAGCCAACUUGACCUAUUUGACAUUUAUAGAACACUGGACACAACAUCAGAAUAUAUGCUCUUUUCAAGUACACAUGGAACAUUCAGGGACUUUUUAGGUUUUAAUCUUCUAAUCAGAUGUUUUAAAUUUUUCUCUCUGAAAUAUUCUUAGUUUUAAAAAUUGUUGAGUGUGCAGUAUUCUCAGGUUAGCUAGCAACAUAGAAUAUUUUCUUUAGUAUUCCUCAAUAACCAUGUUUCCAGACGUAUUAAUGUAAUACUGACACAUUCUGGAUCAUUUACCAUUUUGAAACUCAUAUAAUAUUUAAGUUUAUUCUCCUAGAAGUUACAAAAGGGCCAAGGAACACCUCGACAACAUAAUCACAGAAACGUAUGCAUUGCCUUCAAUGAAUUGUGGAUUAGGAAUCCAUUCUAUCGGACAAAAGGAGCUGAAGACACACCCUGAGAAACUGACAUUUUUUCCAGAGCUCUCAUUCCUGGCCCCAUCCUCUAGGCAUUCCCAUCAAGAUCUUGGAAGGUAUAGGAGAUUAAUUCUAUCUCAAAGUGAUUACUUCUCUCCUCCUGUUUUUCUCUUUGGCUAAUGCCUCAUGGCUCUUUUUCAAGACUGCUGAAAUCAUAAACAUUAGACAGUUUGGACUUUCAUUUGAAGUGCCAUUAAAUCAUGAUUUUAGGAUCAAAAAUUUCUUUUCUAACUGUCCAUAACUUCGAAUGUUUACAAACAAAAUAUGUAAAUUAGUGUGCUAGAGAAUAACAUCAAGCAGAUCAAUUAUUUUAAAAUAAUCUACAACUUUUCUGUUCUAAAAAUGCAAGUACACAUUGUUUUUACUUAAAAUUGCUGGAAUAUAUGGAAGAUGCUUACCAGGGACAGAAAUUUUCAAAGAACAACAUAUUUCGUGCUUCGCGAUCUAUCUUUACAUUCUCUUGAUUAGGUGAAAAAUUGUUCAACCAAUGCUACAUCAUUGCUUAAUACCUUGGAAGUAUUCCUAUCAAUGAGAGUGAAGAAUGGAGACUAACAUAAAAUGGUGCACACAGGAAAUUUGCACACAGUGAGGUGAAGGUAACAGUCUGGGUCUUAGGUGUCAUUAUGAUCUUUAAAGUUCCUACAUAAGGAUGUAACAUUUUUCUAUAAUUAUGCAUUUAUUCUUCAGGGUAAUCACAAUAAUUGGCAAAAAGCAUGUAAUAACCUUUUUAAGAACAUUGGUAAUUAAUCUCAAGAUUGCUAUAAAAAUCACUGUAAUCAUUUAACUUUAGAGUAGACAGAUUGGAGUUUUCCUUAAAACCACUCAGCAACUCACAGAAGGAUGACCUUUCAUCAUUUCUUUUACAUAAGAAUUCUCCCACUGCUGAUCCUUCUCUAUUGAGGAGGAUUAGUACUCCAUCUAGGUCAUCCACCAACUUUCAAAAAAAAGGAGAGAUGUAAAUAAAGAAUUAGUACCAGUUAGUAUAGCAAUGCUAAGGUGAUAGCAUUGGCAUUCCUUAAGUAUCACAGUUAAAAACAUUUCUUCCUUAAAAGGGAUUGAAUAUGUUAUGUCAUAAUAUAUCUUAAGCCAUAAUCAUGUUUAUUCAUCAACUAAACACCCAUUUAUAUAUUGGUAACAUAAUUUACCUUUAACUGUCACAAAAAUGUAAAUCAUUUUUGUUCUUCAAAUAUAAUAUGGGGGCAUAAAUCAGAAAUGCUGUCAAUACAAACAGUAGAUACUAGUAAUUUCCCAGAAUUGCAAAAGUAACUUUUGAUUUUAUGAGAAUUACUUGUUAGACUGCAAAAAGACGGCAUAUAAUCUACAUUAUGAGAAAAUAUAUAAAAAAAUGUAAGUAUUAUGAAUUACGCCAUUCAGUGAGUUAAAUAAAACCACGCCAAAAUACCUGAAGGUCUUUUGGUGAAAACUUGACAUCUAGCUAACUAACAGACGAUGAAUCACCUUGUCUCAACCACCUGCAAUAUUGAACAACAACAAAAAAAUAAGUAAAAAUUGUGUUUCUAUUCUUUUAUUUCCCUUAAUACGCAUCAAUAAACGUAGUAGUAAAUGAAUCGUUUAAAGCUGGAGAACGCUAAUGGGAAAUUUCAUGCUGGUGGUCAAGUUCCCUAAGUAGGGGGUUUAUUACAAGUAGAGACAAGAAGAACACCGUUUUAGUACAUUCUGGAGACUGUAAAUUUCCAGUACCAAGGAGUCACAGAAUCAGGAAAUGGAAGAAAAAAGGAACCUAGAUACUUAGUCCAUUAGAGACAGAGCUUGCUAGACAGAAACGUAUUGGAGCCAUGGUCAUUGGCAAUGCUGCGUAUCACAAGUGGCAACUGAGUACAAAGUGAGAGGAGCCCAGGCCAGGCUGGGGACACUUGCACUUUGUAUACCAACGAUCACCACGCUGUGAUCUCCUUCACCUCAUCCAAAGAUGAGCAUGUUACAAAAAAUAAUUUAAAAACAAGGAUGCACCAGAAAAAUUAUAGCGAGCCAAGCAACAAGAAAAAAUUUCAUGAAGAAUUAAAGAUAUUAUCUCUAAAAAUAAGUACUACCUCAGUCAGUCCAAAACAAACACAAAAGCUAUGGAAAUACCAUUUUGAAUUAUAUACAGAAUGCAAUAAGGAUAUUCUACAUGGUUUUCAUAAAAACAGCAAUGCUAUUAUGCAUUUGAUUGUGAAUACAAUAUUUGGAAUAUAAAGAUAUAAUUUGAUUUUUAUAUAUUUAAUUAAGUGUAUCAUUUAACUACAAGUCCUACAGGCAUAAAAGUUUUUAGGGGAAAAAAACCAAGUAAAGGUAAACACACAGCUUGACUAUUGUGGUGGAACUGCCCAGAUAUGCUGGAGAGUAGGCUAUAAGUCAUGAGUUAUCGGUGUGUUGUGGGCAUUAGUCAACAUGUUUUGUAGAGGAAAUGGAGAAUGUCAUUUAAUCUGAUUAGCCGUUUAGAAGGAGACUAGUUAAAAGAGCCUGUCUCUUUCACAUGCACACAUAUGUAUUUGUUUAAAUAUAUACAUAUAUUUAUAUCUAUGUGGUAUUUUGGCUUAUAUGGUGGGAUAAGAAGUGAGGAUGAGAAGAGAGGAAAGGCACCAGGAGUGGUCUUCCGUGACCAGGACUGUGGUGAAAUCUGCUCAUGGAGACUUCACACCUCUAGUUCCCUGACAUGACUGAUACAUUAAAUAUUGGACCACUUACAACUUCUCCCUCAGUCUCUGAACUAUUAUUCUCACUAGUGUCUUUCUUCUGCCAUCUUUUCACCCCUCCAGGAAACCCUUUCAUAAUAGGAAGGAUGUAAGCAAACUCCCCAAAGGCUUAUAGAGCCCCUAGCCUACAUAUGGUCCAACUUAAUGCCAGUGCACUAAUACCUAUCUACAGCUUUUAAAUGAUAUGUGGCCCCAGAAGUGACACAUGUUUUGUUCACAUAGCUGAGGAAAAAUUUGCAUAACCUAUUCAUCUUGGGAAUCACUGAGUUACAUAUAAGCUUCUUUUCAAAGCACAUAUCAUAUUUAAUCGCUUUAGACUAUUUUUCCUACUACAAAUUACGUAAGGCAUCACUAAGAUAUUCCAAGUUGCAAUACAUCUUAGUAACUAGGAUAAAUUGAAAAUCACAGCAUCCUUAAACUGGGUAAAAUUUUUCAAAAUUUGAUACUAGUAUAUAGGAGUUAAAUGUAAACCAAAAGUUUCUUUAAUUGAGGGCAAAAAAUAAAGCAAAAUAAAAUAACUGAAAUAAGAACAGUUCCUUAUGUCUUUCUUACAUACAUAAUGUAGAGUACUUAUAAGAAACCAAUACUUAAGACUGACAUAAGGAUGAUGUUAGGUUACAUUUUCGUUUGUUUAAUGGUUAUGGGUGAACUCUAUCAACAAAAAGCAUCAAGUUGAUAUAUCUGUUCUAGUACUAAAACUAUGAUCUUACAUUUCAACAAUGGAUCACCACCAAGUUCUUCUACUUCAGUGACACAUAUUUACCUUCUCUCAGGUUCUGCAGAUAGUGUUUGCUACACAAGCGGCCCUGAUCCUUCAUUGCGAGCUCCAGCUCUCUGCAAUCCCAUUAUCUAAACAGUUGUUUUUUUACUAUUAUUAUUCCCUCAUUCUGUACCCCAAGCACCCUCCUGCUUAGAUCUUCAAUGUUUACAUAUCUUUUAUAUCUAGCAUCCUCAUAAAAUACCGAAUUUGCUGCCACAAGAAUUAUGCAAUAUAUUUAUCUAAAUUAAGUGCAUCUGCUUUGGGACAGUAUCAAUCUGAUUUAUUAAGUUCUGCUUUAAAAGUUUAUAGUAACUUUUGCUUUUUUAUUAGAAUUGUAAGAUAUCAUGUGACAAAUCAAGGUAAUAAAUUGGAAGCCUAUUUCUCUUACCUGUGUAAAAGAACAGCGGGUACUGUGUUCUGGAGGCAUACAUUUCAUGGCUCCGACACUGGCAGCUCUUUGAACCUGACCUGCUGACCCCCACAUGUGCUGAGACUUAGUAAAGGCAACACGGCAGGCGGGGAGCUUCUCUCUCGCAUUCAUCCGGGCCUGUGCAAGUCCACCCUCUGUCUGCUAACCUACUUCAGUUGCAGAAUCCUGACACUCUGCUCCAGAUUUUGACAGUUUCUUGUGUUGCCUUCACUUUGAGCAAGCAUUUCCAAAUUCUUUUUGGCCUAUAAUACUUUAGCUUCUCACUCAGCCCUUGACUCAGCUUUCCUGGACUUCGAACUCUCUCCUCAUUACAAGUUUUAUCUCCAAUUUCAUCCUCAAGUUCUGAUAACCAGAAGUCCACCGGACAGGAUAGACAUGGUAAAGUAUUCAGAAAUGCAGCAAAGUUACUCAGAAUAUGCCUCAAAUAUCUCCUUUUUCUUCCUUUCAAAGCUCUCCCAGAUAGCUGCUACUCUCACACAUGUGCGCGCGCGCACACACACACACACACACACACACACAUUUGGUUAACAUUUCAAUACUGUCUUUUAUACACUCUGCUACUCUGCCUUCUGGUUUAUUUGUAGUAUAUGUUUGUGAAUGGAGGUGGGAGGGCUGCCGCGUGAGAUUGUGAGUUCCAGUAGGAUAGAGACUUCUUCAUCUUUGCUCCCUUUACAGCAUUAUGUGCCUGUGUAUUACUAUACAUGAGUGGAAUUAAGUUGAGGAAAAAGUCUGCCCUUUUAUGGAGAUGGCAGAGUCUGGGUUUUCACAGGAUAUACCUCACCACCAAGUAGAGCGUAAAAUGUGAGGAAGACAGCUGAAUGAACAAAGGAUUCCAAUACCCAAACGCACAUUCUCAUGGACUCAAACAUACAUUCCUGGUAUGCAAUCUGGUAUUCAAACCCUGGGACAAGAUCUACUCGUGUAUUUCUCCUAAUUCUGUGCACUGAACAAUCUCUGCCUCACUGAGAGUUGGGAAUUUUCACUGCUGCCACCAUUCUUCAAAGAACAAAAGAACAUAAUCCAGAAACUGUUGCCACAUGACCCUCUUUCCAGUUCACUACUCUUUAGCCUGGUAUUGGAUGAUGCCACAUGCACUACAUCUGUCAUGGCCAGUCCCUACUGGAAACACUUAACUUUAUAUAAGGGAUUCAGGAGUGAAUUAAAUCAUGGUAACUGCUGUGUAUGUCUGCAUGUCUGUAGGCAUUCUGGUAAUUGUAUUUGCAAGUGCCCAGGAGAGUUUCUUAACAUCCUUCUUGUAAGAGCAUGAAACAUCUCUUGGAAAACCCAUCCCUAAUAUUCCUGGAGCACAAUAAACCUCUGUGUUUCAUUCACCCCCACUGUAGGGGCACAAGUGUAAUCCAGGCCAGGUAAAUUGGAGCCCUUCUCAUAAUUUUUAAACUGAAAAUGGAAGGAAGAAUUCCCAUCUUCUUGGAUCUUAAGGGUAAGUAUAUAGGGCUCUCAUUGGUCAUUUCUCACAAUGCAGAGAAGCUUUAUGUAGAAAAGGAAAUCCAGUAAAAUCUAGCAGAGGUAAGAGGUAAGGUCCUGCUGGUACUGAAUCCCAGUGUCAGUGUCUGGGACCUUGAUUCUAAGAUUUUUGCCUUCGGUUUUGUGAGUUGCUCCAGUGUUUUUCCCAGCUGCUGAGAAAAAGCAUUUCAUUUUGUUUUUGGUUUUCCCUCAGGUGAUUUGAGUUGUGAUUCUUAGCACUUGCACCUGAAGACAAACUACAACUCCUGUGACAGCUGGCUGGUAAUCUCCGAGUUCACAAUGUUUGCAGUCUGCUUUAAUUUUGAAAAGGAACGAUAGGAAAAUACUGAACUUCUUUAAGCAGGAGUGUGUUGGGGGCACUGAGCCAGCAUUGAUAUGAGAUGUCGAACUGGGGCUGAUAUACUCCUAAUAUAUGAGAAGGCAUUUCAAUAGGUAUUUAUUUAUUUAAUAUUUUUGCGUCCUAUUUUCAUAGUUGGGAUUUGCCUAAAUUUUUCCUUCAUUGAUUUAUCUUUGUCUGGUUUUUGUGUCAUGAAAAGUCACCCAAUAAAACGAUUUAAAACAUUUUCUGCCUUUUCCUUUGCUCUAAAAUAGUUUGUAUAACAUAGACAUUACCAUUCCUUUGAAGUUUAAAGUCUUGAAUACACAGAGGCUUAAUUAAUUAGUGUUGUCUUAUGUAGAAAGCUCUUGGGUGGCUAUGUGUAAAUUUAUCACCAUCCACACCUUCUGCCUUCUCAAUCCUGGAAGAGUUUAUAGAAAGAGAAUGGUCCAUGGCACUAUUACUUGUUUGAUUACGUGUGCUUUGAAAUUUUUCUAUUUACUUAUACAUUUUAUGCAGUUCUUAGG
rnacentral:lncRNA from 1 species